GAUGAACGCUGGCGGCGUGCUUAACACAUGCAAGUCGAACGAUGAAGCCCAGCUUGCUGGGUGGAUUAGUGGCGAACGGGUGAGUAACACGUGAGUAACCUGCCCUUGACUCUGGGAUAAGCCUGGGAAACUGGGUCUAAUACUGGAUAUGACUUCUCAUCGCAUGGUGGGGGGUGGAAAGAUUUAUUGGUCUUGGAUGGACUCGCGGCCUAUCAGCUUGUUGGUGAGGUAAUGGCUCACCAAGGCGACGACGGGUAGCCGGCCUGAGAGGGUGACCGGCCACACUGGGACUGAGACACGGCCCAGACUCCUACGGGAGGCAGCAGCGGGGAAUAUUGCACAAUGGGCGCAAGCCUGAUGCAGCGACGCAGCGUGAGGGAUGACGGCCUUCGGGUUGUAAACCUCUUUCAGUAGGGAAGAAGCGAGAGUGACGGUACCUGCAGAAGAAGCGCCGGCUAACUACGUG
rnacentral:rRNA from 1 species